rnacentral:tRNA from 2 species
GUGGCUAUAGCUCAGUUGGUUAGAGCAUCGGAUUGUGGUUCCGAGGGUCGGGGGUUCGAAUCCCCUUAGCCACC